rnacentral:snoRNA from 1 species
ACAACGCCUCCAGGAGAAUCAUUUCUAUAGUAUUCGACCUUCUCUUGGUUCCCUAAAAGAGCCACAGAUCCCACCCUGGUUGAUGAAUGUAUAUCCUCGACACCCUAGAGUGAAUACCCUCUUGGUCCUCUCGCUCUGUCCGCAAGGAUGGCGGUGGUUGCCUCGUGCAGCUGCUGUAUAGAGAUGGUUUGCUUGAUGAUCUCGACCCCAGCUGUGGUCUUGCCUUCGGGCGCGUGGCUGGGGUGGGUGUUGAUGGACGUCUGACAGG